rnacentral:rRNA from 1 species
CCUACGGGUGGCUGCAGUGGGGAAUAUUGCACAAUGGGCGCAAGCCUGAUGCAGCGACGCCGCGUGGGGGAUGACGGCCUUCGGGUUGUAAACCCCUUUCGCUCACGACGAAGCGCAAGUGACGGUAGUGAGAGAAGAAGGACCGGCCAACUACGUGCCAGCAGCCGCGGUAAUACGUAGGGUCCGAGCGUUGUCCGGAAUUACUGGGCGUAAAGAGCUCGUAGGUGGUUUGUCGCGUUGUUCGUGAAAACUCACAGCUUAACUGUGGGCGUGCG